AAAGCCUGAUCCAGCCAUGCCGCGUGUGUGAAGAAGGUCUUCGGAUUGUAAAGCACUUUAAGUUGGGAGGAAGGGUUUCUGGCUAAUAUCCAGGAAUUUUGACGGUAACCGGAGAAGAAGCCCCGGCUAACUUCGUGCCAGCAGCCGCGGUAAUACGAAGGGGGCUAGCGUUGCUCGGAAUCACUGGGCGUAAAGCGCACGUAGGCGGAUCGUUAAGUCAGGGGUGAAAUCCUGGGGCUCAACCUCAGAACUGCCCUUGAUACUGGCGAUCUCGAGUUCGAGAGAGGUUGGUGGAACUCCGAGUGUAGAGGUGAAAUUCGUAGAUAUUCGGAAGAACACCAGUGGCGAAGGCGGCCAACUGGCUCGAUACUGACGCUGAGGUGCGAAAGCGUGGGGAGCAAACA
rnacentral:rRNA from 1 species